GACGUAGGGCGCGAGCGUUGUCCGGAUUUAUUGGGCGUAAAGAGCUCGUAGGCGGUUUGUCGCGUCUGCUGUGAAAACUCGGGGCUUAACCCCGGGCCUGCAGUGGGUACGGGCAGACUAGAGUGCGGUAGGGGAGGCUGGAAUUCCUGGUGUAGCGGUGAAAUGCGCAGAUAUCAGGAGGAACACCGGUGGCGAAGGCGGGUCUCUGGGCCGUAACUGACGCUGAGGAGCGAAAGCGUGGGGAGCGAACAGG
rnacentral:rRNA from 1 species